rnacentral:lncRNA from 1 species
UGGGCAACAAGAGUGAAACUCCAUCUCAAAAAAUAGACAAAUAAAAUAAAAUAAAAGAUUUUUUUUAAAGUUAGCAACUUGUAAAAAUGUUUCAGUAGGAAAGUUCUGUGAUGAGAUUGUGAUGCUUGAUGGUCAACAUCAGCUUGUUGGCUUUUACCCCAGAUAACAGCCAUUGACUGUCCACGAUUGUCAUCAUGCAGCUAUAUUUGUCAUAAGCAUCAUGUGCUUGGAUACAUUAUGUCAUAAGCAUAAAUGUCCUAGAGUAAAUUGUACACGAGUUGCAUUAUGUGCUAGAUGUCUAUCCAAAGGAAUACUCUGGCAAUUCAUUUGGAAAAGUAAUAAUUUUGUGUGCAUGCGCAAGUAUAUACCAAUUUAUGCAAUAAAAAUUUUUGAAGUACGA